GAUGAACGCUGGCGGCGUGCCUAAUACAUGCAAGUCGAGCGAACAGACGAGGAGCGUGCUCCUCUGCCGUUAGCGGCGGACGGGUGAGUAACACGUGGAUAACCUACCUAUAAGACUGGGAUAACUUCGGGAAACCGGAGAUAAUACCGGAGAAUAUAUUGAACCGCAGGGAUCAAUAGUGAAAGACGGUUUUGCUGUCACUUAUAGAUGGAUCCGCGCCGCAUUAGCUAGUUGGUAAGGUAACGGCUUACCAAGGCAACGAUGCGUAGCCGACCUGAGAGGGUGAUCGGCCACACUGGAACUGAGACACGGUCCAGACUCCUACGGGAGGCAGCAGUAGGGAAUCUUCCGCAAUGGGCGCAAGCCUGACGGAGCCACGCCGCGUGAGUGAUGAAGGUCUUCGGAUCGUAAAACUCUGUUAUUAGGGAAGAACAACUGUGUAAGUAACUAUGCACGUCUUGACGGUACCUAAUCAGAAAGCCACGGCUAACUACGUG
rnacentral:rRNA from 1 species